AAGUUGUGUGUUUGGUGUUUUGUUUUUUUUUUUAAUGACCUAGGUCAAUGGAGAUCUGAUGCUGAAUAAUUCUGUUUGCUGCUGGGGCAGGAAGAGGAGUAUAAAACCCAAAGAUACUAAGCAUCUGUGUGAGGGAUUAUGGUUGAUGAUUGGUCACAUUUAAAGGAUAACAUUAGUGCGUUACUCAUUAGACCUGAAUGGAAAUCAAGGCCAGUAAUAGUACUGGCCUUAUAUGUACUGGCCCCUGAUGAGGCUAUUGCUGAGGUUGACAUCUGUACUUUAACUAAGCUUACAUGAACCAGGCUGAAAAAUGGGUACAUUAUAAGGGCAUGUGAGCCUAUAAGUAAUCAUGCCUACAGCCCAAUAUUCUUUGCUUUAAUGGUUAUACAAAAGCUUCCUCUCCCCUAGAGAGUAUAAGAACUCUGAAAGGCAGAGAAACUUGGUAAGUGCUAGGUUUCAGCCAAGGGCAGGAUAGAGAUGUAUUUGGGAGACUCUUGUGUAGCCUUUCAUUGUGAGACUUUAUAAACUAAGGCUGCAAUUAGUGAUGGGCUGUAAUGAGAUCCUGGACUGUGAUGACAUUUAAUAUCUGUUUCAGAAGAUGUUCCCAGGCUAAAAUCAAUGCUAUGUCCUUCAGACCUCAAAAACAUAGAGUUAUGUAAGUACAUGUAGAUCUUCCUGUGUUGAAGUUGUUGCACUGUCUGUGCUAAAACAGUCUGAGGUAGGAUGAGGUGGAAUGUGGAUUGCAGCUGUUCAUAUUAAGACAGAUUGAGUAAAUAUCCUUGGCUUAGGUUUCUGUUUAGGUUGUGUUGAUCUUCCUCAUCAGGACAAGGUGACUGGCUAGGCUUUUCAUACCCAAGCUUGUGUCUGGAUUUGUCCGUGUGUGCUUGGCUGAACGUGUGAUUAAGACUCACAACCAAUGUAGAGUUAGGGUGUGCAAGGGCCAAUUAUCAGAAAAUACAAAGAAAUAGCUCAUCUAUACUGAGCAGGGAUGACAAACAAGAACAGCUAAAUGACAGCUAAAUACAAGAAAGAAGACAGGCUUGGCAAUCAGUGCAAUCAACAGAAGAAGCUUAUUUGCAGAGGAAAGAAGUGUAAUGGCUUCAGAUCUUCCUUCAAAAAAAGCAUUAUGUGACACUGAUUAUUUGAAAUGCGUUUAUGCAGCGUAUGAUAACCAAAAACUGAAUGUGAAGCAAAAGGAAAACAAAAUACCUCGAAAAAGAAGAGUUGUUUCAUUUACAGUUUUCAUCCUUUCUCACAGGGUUUUGAAAAAUCUCAGUGAGAUCUGUGUGUUUCAAAUCCCGAGCCUCCAGCCCUGGGAUCGGGACUGCACAGCUCCAGCUGCAAUGCUGCAGUCUCUGCAGCCAUCUUGCGGGGAUUCUGGGCAUGUUCACUGCGCAGUGCCUUGCUGCUAACAGCCAGCUUGCAAGCUUUAUUUCCUCACCUCAGCAAAUCGUGGCUGAGUCAGAGUGAACAGAGUCUUGUGGCCUGCUGUUUUUCCCCCUAACCACCCCAGACUUGCUAGCAGGGGUGCACUGCUGCACAGCUCUGGGGCUGCGUGCUAUUUCCAGGCCUCAGCCCUGCACAGGGCCCCGCGAGCUGCCAUGGUCUGAUAGGGAGGAGUGUAGAGCCUGGGGCUGCGGAGCUGAAAGCCUGUGCCGUGAUGAACCCUCAGCUUCAUAGGAAGUUGCAUACAAUGAGUUGUGGCAGAGCUGUUGUCAGAGUCACUGCUGGCUUCCCUAAGGAGCUUUGGAAGGACAACUCUUUAACAGCUUUAACAGUGUCACAGACAGGCUGAAAGGCUGAACAGGCCCUGUCCAUUUUAUGCUUCCAUCAACUAGAUGCCUUCUAUUUUUCCAUUAACUCUGAUUAUACCCUUACUCUUCCUAUCCGGCCAACUCAACCAGCUAAAUUCAACUUGGGGAUGGUGUUUCCUUUCUUUUCAUAACUGCUUUACUCUCCUUCCCUCCGUUCUUUCUUGGCACUUUGUUGUGCAAACCAGCAAAACGAAAGAUACUCGCUUAGUAGAAAUAGCAUUCAUUUCCCUGAGGGUUUUGUGUAUUCAGCUCAUAGGAAGGCAGAGACCAAGCAAGUUUACUUUGGAAACAGAUUUGUAUUGAUCAACACUGUCAAGGCAUGUAGGUGCAGGUUAUUCACUUAAUGAAUUCUUCUCUAAGAAAUAUCAUACAAGGAAUAUCAUUUCUCUUCGUAUUCCUCGAGGGAACGUCCUCAACAUCUCUAGCAAGCUGACCUACUGCUAUUCUUCUUGGCCUCUUCUCCUGGGUAACAGUGAUAGGGUGAGAGGUAAUGGCCUCAAGUUGCACCAGGGGAGGUUCAGGUUGGAUAUUAGGAAGAAUUCCUUCACAGAAAGAGUGGUGCUGCAUUGGCACAGGCUGCCCAGGGAGGUAGUGGGGUCACUGUCCCUGGAGGUGUUCAAGAACUGUGAGAAUGUGACACCGAGCGACAUGGUUUAGUGGGCAGUGUUAGUGGUAGGUGGAAGGUAGGAGUUGAUCUUAGAUGUCUUUUCUAACCAUAAUGAUUCUAUGAUUUGUGAUGGUGUUGUUCUGAUUUCC
rnacentral:lncRNA from 1 species